rnacentral:rRNA from 1 species
GUGCCAGCAGCGCGGUCAUACCGGCAGCCCAAGUGAUGGCCGAUCUUAUUGGGCCUAAAGCGUCCGUAGCUGGCUGCGCAAGUCCGUCGGGAAAUCCACUCGCCCAACGAGUGGCCGUCCGGUGGAAACUCCACACCUUGGGACCGGAAGGCUCGAAGGGUACGAUCGGGGUAGGAGUGAAAUCCUGUAAUCCCGCUCGGACCGCCGAUGGGGAAACCACCUCAGGAGAACGGAUCCGACAGUGAGGGACGAAAGCCAGGGUCUCGAACCGGAUUAGAUACCCUAGUAGUCC